ensembl:lncRNA
CGUUACACAAUCAGUUACUGCUAGCUACCGUUACACAAUCAGUUACUGCUAGCUACCGUUAAACAAUCAGUUACUGCUAGCUACCGUUAAAUAAUCAGUUACUACUAGCUACCGUUAAAUAAUCAGUUACUACUAGCUACCGUUAAAUAAUCAGUUACUACUAGCUACCGUUAAAUAAUCAGUUACUGCUAGCUACCGUUAAAUAAACAUUUACUGCUAGCUACCGUUAAAUAAUCAGUUACUGCUAGCUACCGUUAAAUAAUCAGUUACUGCUAGCUACCGUUAACCCUCCCGUUGUCUCGGCGGGUCAGAGUGACCCGGGCAGGGUUACGAGUUGAUCCCCGUGUCUGUGUGGGUCAGAGUGACCCCGGGCAGCGUUAUGAGUUGAUCACCCGUGUCUGUGUGGGUCAGAGAGACCCUGGCAGCCUUAAAUAAUCAGUUACUACUAGCUACCGUUAAAUAAUCAGUUACUACUAGCUACCGUUAAAUAAUCAGUUACUACUAGCUACCGUUAAAUAAUCAGUUACUACUAGCUACCGUUAAAUAAUCAAUUACUACUAGCUACCGUUAAAUAAUGAAUUAGGAAUAUUAUCCAACAGUGAAUUAUUAGGUAAAUUAAUCAAUUCUUAAUUUUAAAAAAACAAACAGGCAUAGGUGGUUUACAAUCUACUCCUAAUGUAAUCUACUCCUAAUGUAAUCUACUCCUAAUGUAGUCUACUCCUAAUGUAGUAACUCCUAAUCUACUCCUAAUGUAGUCUACUCCUAAUCUACUCCUAAUGUAAUCUACUCCUAAUGUAAUCUACUCCUAAUGUAGUCUACUCCUAAUGUAGUCUACUCCUAAUGUAGUAACUCCUAAUCUACUCCUAAUGUAUCUACUCCUAAUCUACUCCUAAUGUAAUCUACUCCUAAUGUAAUCUACUCCUAAUGUAGUCUACUCCUAAUGUAGUAACUCCUAAUCUACUCCUAAUGUAGUAACUCCUAAUCUACUCCUAAUGUAGUCUACUCCUAAUCUACUCCUAAUGUAAUCUACUCCUAAUGUAGUCUACUCUAAUUCUACUCCUAAUGUAAUCUACUCCUAAUGUAGUCUACUCCUAAUGUAAUCUACUCCUAAUGUAAUCUACUCCUAAUGUAGUAACUCCUAAUCUACUCCUAAUGUAGUAACUCCUAAUCUACUCCUAAUGUAGUAACUCCUAAUCUACUCCUAAUGUA